rnacentral:rRNA from 1 species
AGCGAACGCUGGCGGCAGGCUUAACACAUGCCAGUCGAGCGCCCCGCCAGGGGAGCGGCAGACGGGAGAGUAACACGUGGGAACAUACCUUUUGGUUCGGAACAACUGAGGGAAACUUCAGCUAAUACCGGAUAAGCCCUUACGGGGAAAGAUUUAUCGCCGAAAGAUUGGCCCGCGUCUGAUUAGCUAGUUGGUGAGGUAACGGCUCACCAAGGCGACGAUCAGUAGCUGGUCUGAGAGGAUGAUCAGCCUCACUGGGACUGAGACACGGCCCAGACUCCUACGGGAGGCAGCAGUGGGGAAUAUUGGACAAUGGGGGCAACCCUGAUCCAGCCAUGCCGCGUGAGUGAUGAAGGCCUUAGGGUUGUAAAGCUCUUUUGCCCGGGAAGAUAAUGACGGUACCGGGAGAAUAAGCCCCGGCUAACUUCGUG